AGAGAGUUAGUCCAAAAUAAGACCUCUGAUUUCGGCUCAGAAAACCAUGGUUUAAAUCCAUGACCCUCUU
rnacentral:tRNA from 1 species